rnacentral:rRNA from 1 species
UGCUCCAGAAUAGCUCUUGGAAACGGGUGGUAAUGCUGGAUGCUCCAACUUGACGCAUGUCUUGUUGGGAAAGUGUUUAGUGGCAUGGGAUGGGGUCGCGUCCUAUCAGCUUGUAGGCGGGGUAAUGGCCCACCUAGGCUUCGACGGGUAGCCGGCCUGAGAGGGCGGACGGCCACAUUGGGACUGAGAUACGGCCCAGACUCCUACGGGAGGCAGCAGCC